UUGCAAUGAGCAGAAGUGGAACUGACACAGAUUAUGUAAGAAUUAUGAAUUUGCAUUUCUAUGUAUUUAGUCAUUUACUCAUGGUUAAUACACUCUACUAAUAUACCAUCUAACUGGUUCAGUUGUGUUAUUUGAUUUAAUCUCCUAUGAAUAAGUAUUCAAAAAUUAUUUAUGCGUACUUGUGCUAUGUUUGUGCUUUAGCUAAUUGUUUUGGCAAUCAUCUGGAAGCAAUUUUGAUGUGGUGGCUUGUUGGUGCUAAUUAAUUCGUUUGAUCUUACCAGCAGAAACCGUGUUUCGCUACAUCAUAUCUUGCUUGAUGGAACUUUGCAUGCACACUGACCAUGGAACUCACUCAUGGAGGAGUUUUUUGAUCAUAGAAAGUCGUUCUUUUGAAAAUUGGCUUGAACUUUUACGUGGAGGUAUGCCUAUAUAUAAAUUCUGGAAGAUUAUUUCAGAUUAUCACCUUCGAUCUCCUGCAUUCCAAGCUUUUGCUUCUAUGUUUGCAUUGCGCAUUGGUUGAGGAGUGCCUGGCAGUUGGCGAGAGAAGAGGAUCAAAAGAACGAAAGGAGGCAAGAUUAUUUUAUGGUUGUGGAACCAGUCUCCCGGAUUCUAUUUUAUUUGCAUUACGUAUUGGUUGAGGAGUGCCUGGCAGUUGGCGAGAGAAGAGGAUCAAAAGAAUGAGAGGAGGCAAGAUUAUUUUAUGGUUGUGGAACCAGUCUCCCGGAUUCUAUUGUACAUGCAGAUGCAGAUUUGGUUUGAUGUUGAGAUUUGGCUGGGUCUCGAUUCAAUUUUGGCCAGGUGGUGCGCUGAAUACUCCUGCUAAUUCUAAUGGUAUUGGGAAAUGCGGCAAAACUUAUAUGAGCUGGAUUUCACUGUUGUUGCCGUGAGGGUGGUGAUGAUGUCGCUCUCUAGACAGACUGGCUAAAGAUGAAGCGCCUGUUGAGAAUUGCCCUUGUUUUAUGGGCAGUUCAUUUUCGUGAGCAAUUUAACAUUGAUUCAGGAAUACUGUGGGAAAGAAGAUGGAUCAUCUAGGAGGAAGUUCAGCAUAUAAAUGCUGAGGUGAAGUUCGGACACCACGCUGACUAUAUUCCCAGGCGCCCACGCCCACGGACUUGGAAGGGGCUGCAGACGAUAGUUAGUUAAUAAUAGACGAACAAAAUGAUGUCUACAUGUUGGUUAUGAGAGACGAAUAUCUCUGUGAUGUCAUUUUGCCGAACUGCAAAGCUAUCAUUUGAUGCAAUGUUCCUGAAAUUCAGCUUGUGGUACCUUUUUGUUUCUUGUAUGUACAUUAUAGUUUCUUGCUUGAUCAUUUUUGCGUAUAUUCUUUUCUCAAAGGACUACUGAAAUCUGAUAAAAAAAUAUAUUCUUUUAUUCAUUUCUCAGAUUACUGAAAUUAGUCUUGAAUAUAAUAAUGGAGAUCUUUGAUCUUGAAUUCUGUUUGGCCUUUUUCACAGCUGUAUGCUUUAAGAUAGCUGGAUACAUUCUAUUCUUGCAUUGGUAAAUUUACUUCAGGUGCAGAGAAAAUGGUAGCAAAAUUCUGUUAUUGAAUAUAUUCCUAAACUCUUCAUGAACUCAUCUGCUUGAUUUUUCUUCUCCCAUGAAGGCCUGCACAGCUCUACCUUAUUAUGUUUCCCAUCAUCAUUACUAAUUUCAUUAAGAAAGCAUGGAGAUGGAGGUUUGAGCAUGUGCAAAAUACUAUUUUUAUGUGAUGCUUAUUUACUUUGUCACUGCGAAGAAUAUAUUGCACAUGUGUCUUCUCUUUUAUCCUACUGGGAAAUGGAUUGGAUAGUUUCCUUUUUAUGAAAGCAAUAUUGUUUUCCCGUUGAGAGCCUCCAUGAUGGGAAUGAUCAAAUUUCAGUGCUUGUAGGUUCCCUGCGCCUUGCUUACUCCCCGGUUCGUCCAGUAUUCAUAAUUCGCUGUUUGCAAGCUGUAGAUCAACCAGAAAGCCUUUGUGCAGCCCAGCGACAGCCAUGGUGCUGCUUUUCAUCUUGUAAAGGAACUUAGCUUAUUCUUCAGAAUGUUCCAAUGAUUUUAGUUUGCAAGUUCUGUAUGAGUUUCCUUUUGCUGUGAGGGGUGCACCAUGUCCCUGCUUAGUUGCUCUGUGGUGAGGCAAACAAAUAUGUAUGGUUCCUGCUUUCUAGGUAAUUGAUAAAUCAUUUUGUGUGUUUGCUUUCCAUAAUUAAUGUCAUGUAGAUUACUGGCUCUUGUGCAUUGUAGGAGAUCGUGAAUGGCAGAAUUAGGUUACAGAUUGUGUGAGAAAUCACUGAUUGGUAGCCUGUGAGCUAAUUUGGAACAUCUUUUUUCCUUCACCAUGUAGUAUCUACCUUAGUUUUGCUAUUUCUCAAAGUUUAUGAUACUAUGGAUCUUUGUAACUGCAAAGAGGAAAUCUAAAAAUAACGUGAAUCUGUUAAGUGCUCAAAGUGAAUAUGUAAUUUGAGUUGAUUUGAUGUAUUAAGUAGGAGCUUCUUCUAUAAAUAACUAAAUGCAGGCGUGCCGGAGGUGCAGGUGACCAUAGCUGUGUACCUUGGUGAGCUUGCUUUGGCUCAUGUUUCCAAGAGAUUGGCGGCCUGCCUCAAAGGGAGGCGUCACUGAAUGCGCUGAGCCGAUGUCAUCUGAAGAAUCAAUCACCAAGAUACUGCUGCUUCAAGCUCUACCACUGCUCGCCGUCUCGCGGCUCCAUGGCCAGGUACGGUGGCGAUGUUCUUGGUCCAGUGGAGGCAAGCGCCGUGGGAGAAGAGUAACUUCGGGAGGGGUCAAGGUUGAGCAGGAGAUGAAGGGGUUGCCUUGCGCAGCACCGUGCUCGGUUUACCUUGGGCUCAUCCUCAAGGAUGAUGGCAGCAGUCGGGCCUGAUCCGGAGGUGGUGUGGUCAGCGAGUUCUCUGCCGGAGGAGGAGGCGAGGAACAACACGAGGUUUCAUAUCUUCAAAUCAUUCAGUAAUUGAUCUUCAGGAAAUGUAUUAAGAGCGUCGUGCAGAAGUUCAUGAUUGUUUGACUCAGUUAUGGCAAAUGAAGCAAAUGAGAUUUUCAUGUAUUCUUGUUUGUAGCAAAGUAUAAUUUUUCAGAAGGUUGGCUUA